AGACUGAGUGAACUUGUAGGCUCUAAAGUUUUACAUUGUUUUUGAGUACAGUAAUGUGAAAAAAAUUGCUUGGAACUGCAGAAGGAAAAAGGAUGGUCUCAUGAUUAAGGCAGUUGAAUGCUGUGCAGGAAAAUUGUUUUCCAUCCCUGUCUGAGCCACAAAGUUCCUAAUCAAGACACUUAAGCCAAACUUUUCACAGGUGGUGAUUAAUUGUGUGUUUUUCAUUUUCUACAUGACCAGCUUGAGACCAUGGGGCCUGAUUUGCAGAAGUGCUGAGAAUUCACAGCCACACCUGAAGUCAAUGGAAGCUGGGCUUGAAUGUGUAAAGUUCUGUAUAUUGCUAAGUACUCUGAAAAAUAAGGUUCUAGUCAUCUCAAAUUGGACACCCUAAAUUAGUGGAUAUAUUUAUUAGGGCUGUCCAAUAUUUAAAAAAUAAUUGCAAUUAAUCAUGAGAUUAAUUGAGAGUUGCCAUUAAUCACAGUUUUAAUCACACUGUUAAGCAGUAAUAGAAUACCAAUUUAAAUUCAAUAUGGAAGCACGUCCUCUGGAAUCGUGGUCAAAGCAUGAAGGGACAUAUGAAUAUUUUGCAUAUCUGGCAUGUAAAUACCCCAACGCCGGCUACAACAGUGCUAUGUGAACGCCUGUUCUCACUUUCAGGUGGACUUUAAAUAAGAAGCAGGCAGCAUUAUCUACCAUAAAUGUAAAUAAACGUGUUUUCCUUAGUAAUUGGCUGAACAAGAAGUAGGAUUGAGUGGACUUGUAGGCUCUAAAGUUUUACAUUACUGUAUCAAAAACAAAACAAUGUAAAAAAAAAAAUUCUACAUUUUUGUAAGUUGCAUUUUCACGAUAAAGAGAUUGCACUACAGUAUUUGUAUGAGGUGAAUUGAAAAAUACUAUUUAUUAUGUUUCAUCUUUUUUACAGUGAAAAUAUUUGUCAAAUAUAAUACAAUAAAGUGAGCACUGUACACUUUGUAUUGUGUUAUAAUUGAAAUCAAUAUAUUUGAAAAUGUAGAACAUCCAAAAAUAUAAUAAAUUAAAUUGGUAUUCUAUUAUUGUUUAACAGUGCAAUUAAAACUGCAAUUAAUCACAGCUAUUUUUUAAACCUUCUUAAUUUGUUUUGCAUUAAUUGCUUGAGUUAACUGCGAUUGAUAGCCCUAAUAAUUUCCAUUUAUUUCUAUGUCUCAGCACCCUAUCUGCAAAAUGGAGAGAAUACCACUCACCUCACAGAAGCUUUGAAGAUUAAAAAAUCAUUAAUGUUUGUGAAGCAUACAAAUACUAUAAUGAUGAGCAUCACUAAAAUGCCCAUACGGAAACAAAUAAUUCUGUCUUCAUGGCAGGAUUUGAAAAGUGUGCAAUAAAUAAUUCAUUAAUAUUAUUGUGUGGUGUAUGUAUGGAGAACAAAUCCAAAAUUACAAACGUAUUAGGGAUAAUCAAAGUAUAUCUGCCAGGCAGGGCUAAAGUUACCCCAUCCUAGACAAAGGAAUGUGGUUCAGCCACCUUGAAGGUACUUCCAAGUUACACUAAGACAAUGGGAGUGCAAUUUACAAAUGAAGGUAAACAGGACCAUCAAGCCAGCAAGGGGAGAUCUCCCUCUGCUCUGAUGCUGAGUGGUUGAGAUUGCAGGAAACAGAUUAAUUUUCAUGAAACUUCCUUUACCAGAAGAGUCCACGUCACCUUUCUCACAGCAUGAAUAAACUUUACUUUGGAUAGUAACCUUCAGAAGAAUCUAUUUUACUGAACUACACAAGAGGACAAAGACCCCACGUUAUCUUUCACCUAAGAUGACAACUAAACGGAGCAUGUGGGCUGUGAAGCUACCUUGCUUGAAGGUAUAUUUGUAAGGAAACUAUCUUGAAAAAAGGCCAUAGCUUGUUCUGUUAAGACAGCCUCUUGAAAGCAUUUUUCAGCUUUAUUUGCUUAUAACUAGAGAUGAAAGUAGGCCGGUACGGCAUACUGGUAAGAAGUGGCCGCUGGAACCGGCCCUUACACAGCUGACGUUAAAGCUCUGCUGCAGCAGCGCUUUCAGGACCCUCCUGAAAGCGCUGCCAUGGCAGCACUUUAACGUCGCUGCCCCUUUUCCCCCCCACCGGCCCUGCUGGUAGGGACCCAACUGGCGGGGCCACCGGGGGGGAGAGAGGGGGAAGCCUACCAAAGAGCCAGAGAGACAAAUGGCCGCUCCGGGUCAGAGCCCCAGACAUGCCGCGUCUAUGAUGAGCUACAUGCCAUUCUAGGGGGUGCCCCUACAACUACCCCAGCCCUGUGCGUGGACUCCAUCAAUGGAUUUGCAUGCAACAGGGAUGCGGAUUUUGGGGACGAGGAAGAGGUUGAAGAUAGCGCACAGCAAGCAAGCAGAGAAACUGUUUUCCCCGACAGCCAGGAACUGUUUUUCACCCUGGAUCUAGUACCCUCCCAACCCACCGAAGGCGGGUUCCCAGACCUAGAAGGUGGAGAAAGGACCUCUGCUGCAAAUGUUUCAAUGCUCCCCGUAUCAUCUCCGUCCCAGAGGCUAGUGAAGAUUAGAAGAUGAAAAAAAAAAAACCCUCACGAUGAAAUGUUCUGAGGUCAUGCAGUCCUCCCUCACUGAAAGAGCCCAGCAGAAUGCCUGGAGGCAUACACUGUCAGAGUGCAGGAAAGCACAAAAUGAAUGCAAGAACAUGUGGCGAGAUAAAGAUGAUAGGUGGCGUCAGCGUGAUGAAAGGAGGAAGGAUGCAAUGCUGAGGCUACUGGAAGAUCAAACUGAUAUUCUCCGGCGUACUGUUCAGGUGCAGGAAAGGCAGCAGGAGCACAGACUGCCGCUGCAGCCCCUGUGUAACCAACCGCCCUCCUCCCCAAGAUCCAUAGCCUCCUCACCCAGACGUCCAAGAACGCGGUGGGGGGGGACCUCCGGGCACUCAACCACUCCACCCCAGAGGACUGCCCAAGGAACAGAAAGCUGGCAUUUAAUAAAUAAGUUUUGAAGUGCA